rnacentral:lncRNA from 1 species
AAUUAUUCCCAAGAGAUUAGAGAUUAUUAUAAAUCAUAUACAAUAUAUACUGACAUAAAUAAACUAUAAAUUAUAAAUAUUUAUAUGUAUUUAGUUAGAUGUAUUGAUUCAUAUCCUGUGGUUUAUUUAUAUGGAGUGUUUCCGGAAGGAUCCAUUUUUUUGUUUAUUUUCUAUAGCUAGCUUCAAUUUCGUAAUUGUGAUGAACUUGAUCAUCUUUAUGUCCUGGGAUUUCUGGUUCAUUUUAUUCCCUUGGUUUAGAAGUUUAUCGAUGUAACUCCUUGUUUUUCUUUGUGUAUUAGUUUUUAUUACAAAUCCUUUGAGGGUUUUCCAGUUUGGUUCUAUAUAUAUGUGGAUAUGAUGUGCUCUGGUUUAUGGAUCCAAAAUGAUAGGGUGAUUUAUCGGAACUAUAAGUUUCGUGUCUAUUUGAUUUUAUGAAAAUAUUGUUUCUUUACUGAUUUGAAACGUGUGACUGUGAGAAUCAUAUUUUGUUAAUGAAAAAGUAACUUCAAGCCUGUUAAUAAAUUAAUUUUCCGUUCAAGUUUUUAUUACUCAAGAUUCAAGACUAUUUCAAGAGUAUUGUCAUAAGUUAGUGUGGUCCUCUGCCUAUGUUGAAAUCAGAUUCAUCCAAUUCGUACAGUUAGCUGAAUGUAUUUACAGUGAGAGGGUGCUAUUAGCCAGCAUUUUGACAAAUUGUUCAUAAAUUGAUGGUGGAAUACCUUACAUUGUGAUCUUUGUUAGUUUCCUUUUGAUAUUACGCU